GCCACCCGCUGGCCCGGGGGGUGAUACGCCGAGACUUCUUAUCGUUCAGACGAUUUUUUCUUUUUCCACCAAUAGAUUUCUCCCCGUGGAAAUUCUCCGCCAUGCUGAUGUUCGAACCUCCCACUCUGGCGAGAAGACAAUCACGGGGCGGCGUGUGCAUCCUCCUAACCUAGUCCUGGACGCACCUUCCGGAAUCCUUCAUGUCACUCAAAGGAGGCCCGGCCCAGAGGUGCCCCCCCCCCCCAGUGACGGUGUGGAAGAAGGACCACUACCCUGUUUUGCCUCUGCCGCAUCCUGCUCACCUACCCAUCCAUGGACGAACUCUCGAGCAGCUUCCACCUUCGGUCAUCGCGAAUCACAUUGCUCUAAACACAGGGGUGCAACUAUUCACAGCUCUUCGAGGCUCUGCCUCCAGUUCUUUGGGGCGUGGCCCCGACGGUGGAGCUACUAGACCGCACGGUUCAUUCCAGGGGUUCUCUGGCUGUCGGGACACCCGGACCGCCCG